AACGAACGCUGGCGGCAUGCCUAACACAUGCAAGUCGAACGAGACCUUCGGGUCUAGUGGCGCACGGGUGCGUAACGCGUGGGAACCUGCCCUUAGGUUCGGAAUAACUCCCCGAAAGGGGUGCUAAUACCGGAUAAUGUCUUCGGACCAAAGAUUUAUCGCCUUUGGAUGGGCCCGCGUUUGAUUAGCUAUUUGGUAGGGUAAAAGCCUACCAAGGCGACGAUCCAUAGCUGGUCUGAGAGGAUGCUCAGCCACACUGGGACUGAGACACGGCCCAGACUCCUACGGGAGGCAGCAGUGGGGAAUAUUGGACACUGGGCGAAAGCCUGAUCCAGCAAUGCCGCGUGAGUGAUGAAGGCCUUAGGGUUGUAAAGAUAUUUUAACCGGGAUGAUAAUGACAGUACCGGGAGAAUAAGCUCCGGCUAACUCCGUG
rnacentral:rRNA from 1 species